CGAGUUGGUUAGGCAAUCGCCGGUUUAUUGAAGCCCUUAUCGUGGCAACACGAAAAAAAGCGGGACAAAUAGACGGGAGGAAAGUCCGAGCUACAAAGGGCAGAGUGCCGGAUAACGUCCGGGGGGCGCGAGCCUACGACCAGUGCAACAGAGAGCAGACCGCCGCGUAAGCGGUAAGGGUGAAAGGGUGCGGUAAGAGCGCACCGUGCCGCUGGUAACAGUGUGCAGCAGGGUAAACUCCACUCGUAGCAAGACCAAAUAGGGAUCCAAUGGGUGGCCCGCCCAGGAUUCGGGUAGGUUGCUUGAGCGGCGAAGCAAUUCGUCGCCUAGAUGAAUGAUUGUCCACGACAGAACUCGGCUUAUCGACCAACUCACCUC
rfam:Haemophilus pittmaniae HK 85 ctg1129913985428, whole genome shotgun sequence.